AUCAAAAUCGAGAAUAGAAAUUCU
rnacentral:siRNA from 1 species